rnacentral:lncRNA from 10 species
CACAGCCUUGUAGCCGGGAGUCGCUGCCGAGUGGGCGCUCAGUUUUCGGGUCGUCAUGGCUGGCUACGAAUACGUGAGCCCGGAGCAGCUGGCUGGCUUUGAUAAGUACAAGCCCCCGAAAGGAUGGAGUUCCUUCUGUUGUGUCAAUCGCCUUCAUUUUAGUGAAGUUUCCACUCGCCUGUCAUGCAUACAACUUCGGAGGAGGAGAUGAUCGUUUGGCAGAUGAGGCCCGGGAGGGGAGCGACUUGCCGAUGCCAUCCUGCUGAUGUCUCCACUUCUGCUCCCGGCAGGGACUUCCUAAGCGGCAGCUUGUGGCGCUAGGGCCACCAGAUGAAAGGGAGGUGCACAGGAAGGAGCUGUGGAGUGGAAAGAGCGCGGGCUUUCGAGCACAUACAAACCUGAUUACAAAAGUCAGAUUUCUUUA